GAAAUACUAAUAUAUAUUAAUGCUGUAUCUAUUGAAAAUUGCCAUUUAUUUUUUGCAGUGCUUUAAUUUGCAGUUCUUUAUAUUGUAGCAUUCCUUACUGAGCAACACAGCAUUGUUCGCUCUUAAUUUCCCUCUCUUCCUCACUCCUGAGAAGCCAUAAAUAAUUAAUUAUAUGCAUUUUUUUCUGUUGGCUUGCAUAGUUUUCACUUGUAGUGAAUUAUGCUCUGCAAAACUGUAUUCCUCAGUGAGAAUUGUCACUGAAUUGGUUAUCGCUGUUAGGAGCCAUGUGUGGACUGUAUAAUCCUUUGUACUCCGCAUUACAAACACUCUUUGCCUGCCUGUGGCUUGGAGUUAAAAACCGUACCUCACUUGCAAGUCAAAGUAACCACCUCCUCUAGCAAGAAGGCCAUGUUUAACCUUCUCAGGCCAUUCUGCUUUGGGCAGAACUGUUAUAUGGACAAGAGCCCUAUUCUAAAGCUCCAAAGAUAGGGCUAAACUGUCUGGCUGAGGAACAGGCUACCUUAAAGAUUUCUACAAGUAACCCUCUAGCCUGUGCCUCAGGCACCUAUCUUAAGAGGUACUUGCCUUGGAAUUUGUAUCUUAACAGCAUUAGUGGCUGUUACCUAUGUGGACAGUCUUUUUUUUAUUUUUUCUAUUCGUUUUGCAGUGGGUCCUGCUGCAGGACUGCCUGGCUUAGGAUUUCGGCUCUUCAUUCUGCAUUCUGCUAUUCCUUGCUCUGUUGGCACAGCAGCAGGCUGGCCUCUUACGUGAGAAUCGCAGAGAUGAUGAUCAUGGCAGAUCACAGCGGUGGGACUGGAGCUCCUCUGGAUACUGUGGUAUCGUAUGGACGGACACAGGAGCCUGGCAUCUCUGCUGCCUUGUGAUAGUGGCCUCAGAGCUGUGCUGGAGACCAGCCAUGCAAGGUGAGAUCCAUGUCUGUUGGUGGAUCAGGUCCUUGGGCGCAUGAGGGACCCCUUGCCCCAACACAUACCUCAGUCAGUAGGCUGUAUGGAAGGUAGCCGUGGGUGGAAGGUGAGAAGGAGGCAGAGCAUUUUGCACAGCUGGCCUUGCAGUUGCUCUCCUAGAGCAGAUGCACACAUCGCUGUUGGAAUUCCAG
rnacentral:lncRNA from 1 species